UACGUAGGUGGCGAGCGUUGUCCGGAUUUAUUGGGUUUAAAGGGUGCGUAGGCGGCCCUAUAAGUCAGUGGUGAAAUAUCGCAGCUUAACUGUGAGGGUGCCAUUGAUACUGUAGGGCUUGAGUGAAUUUGAGGUAGGCGGAAUUGACGGUGUAGCGGUGAAAUGCUUAGAUAUCGGGAGGAACACCAGUGGCGAAGGCGAUCAUCUGGGGCUGUUCUGACACUGAGGAGCGAAAGCUAGGGGAGCAAACGGG
rnacentral:rRNA from 1 species